UACGUAGGGUGCGAGCGUUAAUCGGAAUUACUGGGCGUAAAGCGUGCGCAGGCGGUUCGCUAAGACCGAUGUGAAAUCCCCGGGCUUAACCUGGGAACUGCAUUGGUGACUGGCGGGCUAAAGUAUGGCAGAGGGGGGUAGAAUUCCACGUGUAGCAGUGAAAUGCGUAGAGAUGUGGAGGAAUACCGAUGGCGAAGGCAGCCCCCUGGGCCAAUACUGACGCUCAUGCACGAAAGCGUGGGGAGCAAACAGG
rnacentral:rRNA from 1 species